AGGAGCGCGAGGGGAGGGCCCGGCCGCCGGGGGUCGAGGGGGUGGGGCCUGGGCCGCUGGUCGGGACCCGGCUUGGGGCCUGGACUCCGACCUGGGAGGGCCACGGCUUCCAGCUGAGACCAGGCGGGCGGGAGCCAGGUUAACACUGAAAUCAGCCUUCUGGCCAUGCCGGUUCUAUGGCCUGUUUCUUCUCAUGAACCCCAGCAGAAGACGGACCGGCCAGUCCUCACAGUGGAUGACUUCCCUUCCCUGAGCAAGAGAUGGGAUAGAACCUGGGAUCUGCCCAACACCAGACUCUGGGCUUAAUAAGCCAGCUGAAUGAAGGAAUGUAACAGACCCCUGGGAGGGACACUGAACCCUGCAGUGGGGGGGGAGGGGCGUGGACAUACCCCUUCCCCCCCAGACUCCUCCCCCUCAGAGUCCACUCAGCCAUGGACUUUGGACCUGGAUAAGAGGAGAGAAGCUGCACUUUGUCUGGUGUAUCUGAUUUGGGAUUCUAAGUUUUGGAAAUGGAGUGCUGGAAGGGGGUUUGAUGAUCUCCAGGGGAGCAGCUGAGAGAAGAAAGGUCCCUCACAGGUUGUUACAGGAAGCAAAUGAAAUGACAGAUUUUGAAAAGUAUCCAGGGCCGUGUCCAUGGAAAACAGUACCAUUGACGUUGCUUCAUGAUGCUUGUAUAAUUAGUACAUCCAAAAAACCUCUGAAUUAGGAGUUCUGUUCUUUUAUUGAAUUAGUGUAUUGGCAAAAGCCUUGGAUGUCCUCAAUUAAAAGCCUGGCCUGAA